AUUUCCCAGCUGGACACGGGGGGUUUGUGCCGUUCCCAAACACCCCAGCAGUGCCUGGGGACCCCAAACUUCCCCUUCAUCAGGGGGGUCAAAAUCCCCUUGGUGUCCUGGGGGAGAUC